GACGAACGCUGGCGGUGUGCUUCACACAUGCAAGUCGAACGGAGUAGCAAUACUCAGUGGCGGACGGGUGAGUAACACGUGGGAAUCUACCAUUAGAUGGGGAAUAACAGGCCGAAAGGACUGCUAAUGCCGCAUAUGUAUGUGCCUCGACAGGGGCGUAUAUGAAAGGAGUAAUCCGUCUGAUGAUGAGCCCGCGUCCGAUUAGCUAGUUGGUAGGGAAAAGCCUACCAAGGCGACGAUCGGUAGGUGGUCUGAGAGGAUGAUCACCCACAAUGGGACUGAGACACGGCCCAUACUCCUACGGGAGGCAGCAGUGGGGAAUUUUGUGCAAUGGGGGAAACCCUGACACAGCGAC
rnacentral:rRNA from 1 species